CCCUCACGGACUAAGAUUAAGCCAUGCAUGUUUAAGUAUAAGCGAAUUAUACUUGGGAAACUGCAAACGGCUCAUUAAAUCAUUCUAUAAUCCCUUCGGUAGGUCCUUUACAGGGAUACCUGCAGUAAUUCUGGAAUUAAUACGUGCUGUACGGGCCCGACUUUCGGGGAGGGCCGCAUUUUUUUGGUCUAAGCCAACCUUUUUGGUGAGUCAUGAUAAUUGAGCAAAUCCCUUUUCGGAGCGAUGAAUCGUUUGAGUUUCUGCCCCAUCAGUUGUCGACGGUAGGGUAUUGGCCUACGGGGACUAUAACGGGGGACGGGGAGUUAGGGCUCGACUCCGGAAAGGGAGCCUGAAAAACGGCUACCCCAUCCAAGGAAGGCAGCAGGCCCGUAAAUUACCCAAUGGGGACUCCACCAGGUAGGGACCAGAAAUUUCAAUGCGGGGGGCUUCCCGUCUUGCUUUUGGAAUGAAAGCAAUGUAAAACCCUCAUCGAGGAUCAACUGGAGGGCAAGUCUGGUGCCAGCACCCGCGGUAAUUCCAGCUCCAAAAACGUAUGCUAAAGUUGUUGCAGUUAAAAAGCUCUGAGUUGAAUUUCUGGGGGGGGACCCCAGGCCUCGGUUCGAAUGCCCCUUGAUUUGCCUUGCGGUUCCUUUCCCAACCUCGUUUGUUCGACAUAGGGCUAUUCAGUGAACUAAAGCUUAUGUUUCCAUCGCGCCUGGGG
rnacentral:rRNA from 1 species